GAUACAAGCCACAGGAAUAGAAGGGGCUCUGGCCCAUAAGGUAUCUUACAAACCCUGGAAGGGACCCUGAGCAAUGUAUCUACAACUGGAAGCCACUUCCAGAAUGCAAUCAAAGUUGACCUGCACAAGGCUGAAGUAGUCACAGGAUGCCAGCAGAAGAUAACAUGUGAUGAAAGAAGUGGCCCUUUAAUAAGUGAGCAAAGGAAAUGUGGUCCAAGGCUGUAGACAGAGUCUGUCCUGCGGAAGAUGGUUUGGAAAGGACCAUCUGGGCCACCUCCCCCUCCAGGGGGGUCUAGUCCAGUAAAUGGAUGAAACUAGGAAAACUCAUGUUGAGCACGACGGCCCAGGCCCAUAAAGAUAAACAUCGCGUGUCCUUUCUCAUCAGAGGCUCCCUGCUCCAAAUCUUCAGACAUGAGUGCAUAGCCUGGAGAAACUGCCAGAAACCAGGAGAGUACAAAGAAAUAUUUCCCAAGGACACGGCCUGAUUAGUUUGCCAAAGGACAGAGCGUUAUCAGGGAAGGUAAGCAGAACUCUUUAUCAACCCUUACAGAAUUGGUGGCUGGGACUGGAAGCUAAGCUUCCCAGUCUCGAGGGCAGCUGGCAGAGAAAGUCUUUGCCAAGCCUGGAUCCCACG